CUACGGGAGGCAGCAGUCGAGAAUCUUCCACAAUGGACGAAAGUCUGAUGGAGCGACAUUUCGUGAUGGAUGAAGCCCUUCGGGGUGUAAACAUCUUUUAUCUGGGAAAAACUUAAUGAUUGUACCAGAUGAAUAAGGGGAUCCUAAUUCUGUGCCAGCAGGAGCGGUAAUACAGAAUCCCCGAGCGUUACCCGGAUUUAUUGGGCGUAAAGGGUGUGUAGGUGGUCAAGUAAGUUCUAAAUUAAACCUCAUCGGCUUAACCUUUGAGCUGUUUAGAAUACUGCUAGACUAAGAGGGCGUUAGAGGCAAACGGAACCGAUGGAGUAGGGGUGAAAUCCGUUGAUAUCAUCGGGAACACCAAAAGCGAAGGCAGUUUGCUGGGGCGACCCUGACACUGAAACACGAAAGCGUGGGGAGCAAAAGGGAUUAGAUACCCUUGUAGUCCACGCCGUAAACGAUGGAUGCUGGCUAUUGGCAGUGUCGACCCUGCCAGUGGCGAAGCUAACGCGUUAAGCAUCCCGCCUGAGAAGUACGAACGCAAGUUUAAAACUCAAAUGAAUUGACGGGG
rnacentral:rRNA from 1 species